rnacentral:rRNA from 1 species
GACGAACGCUGGCGGCGUGCUUAACACAUGCAAGUCGAACGAAGUGGCGAACGGGUGAGUAACGCGUAAUCAACCUGCCCUUCAGAGGGGGACAACAGUUGGAAACGACUGCUAAUACCGCAUACUGAAGGAGGGGAUUGUGUCUGAUUAGCUAGCUGGAGGGGUAACGGCCCACCAAGGCGAUGAUCAGGAGCCGGUCGGAGAGGAUGAACGGCCACAUUGGUACUGAGUCACGUCCCAGGCUCCUACGGGAGGCAGCAGGGGGGAAUCUUCCGACAUGGACGAAAGUCUGACGGAGCAACGCCGCGUGGUUGAUGACGGCCUUCGGGUUGUAAAGCUCUGUUAAUCGGGACGCGGUACCGGAAGAGAAAGCCACGGCUAACUACGUGCCAGCCGCCGCGGUAAUUG